CCAGACGGUCGGGCGACCGCUGUUGCAUGGGUUUCCAUGCGAUGGAGGAAAGUCCGGGCUCCACGGAGGAACGGUGCCGGCUAACGGCCGGCGGGGGCGACCCCAGGGAAAGUGCCACAGAAAACAGACCGCCCACACGGCAUUCCGGUUCGCCGGAGAUGGUGCGGGUAAGGGUGAAACGGUGCGGUAAGAGCGCACCGCGCCCGCGGCAACGCGGGCGGCAGGGCAAACCCCACCGGGAGCAAGACCGAAUAGGAACGGCAGACGGGUCGCUCGCGGCACCGUCGGGGGCUCCUCCGCCUCGUCGUUCGGGUUGGUCGCGUGAGGCGUGCCGCGAGGCGCGUCCCAGAGGAAUGGUCGCUCAUCCUUCUUCGGAAGGUGGACAGAACCCGGCUUACAGACCGUCUGGCCUC
rnacentral:RNase_P_RNA from 1 species